AUGGAUACUUUAGUUUGUCUUCAUUUGUUCAGCUGGUCCUUGCCCCAGGCGGGGCCUAGACCAGGCUCAUGUGCUCAUUUGUGGCAACUUGAGGCAGUGAGAGCAAACUGGGAGAAAAUCCCUACUCCUGUUCAUGGAUGCAGCCCAGCACCUGUGGCUCCAAAGUCCUGCUCACCCAUGUGUGAGCACCUCAGGCACAUUCCCAGAAGAGUAACAAUCCAAAGUUUACACUUCCAGUGAAAUGUUGUCUGAGAAGUGCUGGAAAAAGAAAGUGUGGGCAGGAAGAGAGGGAGACACCACAUCUUCUUGAGGGACACCAUGGCUUACCAACUUUGUGUCAGAGCUUUUCUUUCAGCUAAGGAGUCAGAAGAGGAGCAGUGAAUUCCAACACCCAGCAACAUGUACAAGGUACUGAUAAAGGCCCUGAAAAUCAGUAUUCACACCUCAGGAGAGUAGAAAUAACUGAAAGGAGUUUUUUCAGUUGAGUAGACAUUAACACUGCCCUAAGUGCA